AGGCAUGUGCACGCCCUGCUCAUCCCACUCUACACCUGUGCACUUACUGUAGGUCGGCGUGGGUUUCUAGCCUCCGGGUUUGAAGCAUUCUGCUGGCCUAUGUACAUUUAUAAACACUUUAAAGUAACAGAAUGUAAACGCGUCUAACGCAUUUUAAUACAACUUUCAGCAACGGAUCUCUUGGCUCUCGCAUCGAUGAAGAACGCAGCGAAAUGCGAUAAGUAAUGUGAAUUGCAGAAUUCAGUGAAUCAUCGAAUCUUUGAACGCACCUUGCGCUCCUUGGUAUUCCGAGGAGCAUGCCUGUUUGAGUGUCAUGGAAUUCUCAACCCAUAAAUCCUUGUGAUGUAUGGGCUUGGAUUUGGAGGCUUGCUGGUCCCUUUCGGAUCGGCUCCUCUUGAAUAUAUUAGCUUGAUUCCGUGCGGAUCGGCUCUCAGUGUGAUAAUUAUCUACGCUGUGACCGUGAAGCGUUUGGCGAGCUUCUAACCGUCCUUUUUGGACAAACCUUAUGACAUCUGACCUCAAAUCAGGUAG
rnacentral:rRNA from 1 species